GAUCGCUGAUGAGUCUGUCACGACGGUCUUCAGAAAGAAACACCUGUUGAUAUUUAUUAUGUGACGCUGAGAUC
rnacentral:snoRNA from 1 species